rnacentral:tRNA from 1 species
AAGAAUAGUAGUGGGGC